UUGAGCUGGAUGCCGGCCACGUGCUUUGCUGCACGGGCUGGCGUGGCCUCGUGUUGUGUUGGGGGUCUCGCACCUUCUGUGGAAGGUGCCCUGCCUGGCAUGCACGGUGUCUGCUGCCUCAUGGCUGAGCUUCCAUCGGGCCGUGUGCCUGUGACCAGCCUCCUGGGCUCUGUCACGGCUGCGCUGUGGCUGUACGCCGUGGCGCUGCAGGGCUGUGCAUGGUGUGACCCGAAUCCUUUCCAGGAGCUUCGAGAACAACUGGAACAUUUACAAGCUCCUCGCCCACCAGAAGCCCCCUAAGGAGAAGUCUAACUUCUCCCUGGCCAUCCUGAAUGUGGGGGCCCCGGCGGCUGGCAUGAAUGCGGCCGUGCGCUCGGCGGUGCGGACCGGCAUCUCCCACGGACACACAGUAUACGUGGUGCACGAUGGCUUCGAAGGCCUAGCCAAGGGUCAGGUGCAAGAAGUGGGCUGGCACGACGUGGCCGGCUGGUUGGGGCGUGGUGGCUCCAUGCUGGGGACCAAGAGGACCCUGCCCAAGGGCCAGCUGGAGUCCAUCGUGGAGAACAUCCGCAUCUACGGUAUUCACGCCCUGCUGGUGGUCGGCGGGUUCGAGGCCUAUGAAGGGGUGCUGCAGCUGGUGGAGGCUCGCGGGCGCUACGAGGAGCUCUGCAUCGUCAUGUGUGUCAUCCCAGCCACCAUCAGCAACAACGUCCCUGGCACCGACUUCAGCCUGGGCUCUGACACUGCUGUAAAUGCCGCCAUGGAGGGUAGCCAUGCCGACGGCCUACAGGGAAGGGUGGGCACGUGGAGGACCCCCGACCCCCCUUGUCCCCCAGAGCUGUGACCGCAUCAAACAGUCCGCCUCGGGGACCAAGCGCCGUGUGUUCAU
rnacentral:sRNA from 1 species